UUUCUAAGGAUAUAUUCGGAACAUCUUCUUCAGAAGAUGCGGAAUAACGUGACAUAUUGUAUUCAGUUUUGAAUGUUUGUUCACAAGAUUAACGGAGAACUGAAACAUCUUAGUACCCGGAGGAAGAGAAAGAAAAUUCGAUUCCCUUAGUAGCGGCGAGCGAAACGGGAAGAGCCCAAACCAACAAGCUUGCUUGUUGGGGUUGUAGGACACUCUAUACGGAGUUACAAAGGACGACAUUAGACGAAUCAUCUGGAAAGAUGAAUCAAAGAAGGUAAUAAUCCUGUAGUCGAAAAUGUUGUCUCUCUUGAGUGGAUCCUGAGUACGACGGAGCACGUGAAAUUCCGUCGGAAUCUGGGAGGACCAUCUCCUAAGGCUAAAUACUCUCUAGUGACCGAUAGUGAACCAGUACCGUGAGGGAAAGGUGAAAAGCACCCCGGAAGGGGAGUGAAAUAGAACCUGAAACCGUGUGCUUACAAGUAGUCAGAGCCCGUUAAUGGGUGAUGGCGUGCCUUUUGUAGAAUGAACCGGCGAGUUACGAUUUGAUGCAAGGUUAAGCAGUAAAUGUGGAGCCGUAGCGAAAGCGAGUCUGAAUAGGGCGUUUAGUAUUUGGUCGUAGACCCGAAACCAGGUGAUCUACCCUUGGUCAGGUUGAAGUUCAGGUAACACUGAAUGGAGGACCGAACCGACUUACGUUGAAAAGUGAGCGGAUGAACUGAGGGUAGCGGAGAAAUUCCAAUCGAACCUGGAGAUAGCUGGUUCUCUCCGAAAUAGCUUUAGGGCUAGCCUCAAGUGAUGAUUAUUGGAGGUAGAGCACUGUUUGGACGAGGGGCCCCUCUCGGGUUACCGAAUUCAGACAAACUCCGAAUGCCAAUUAAUUUAACUUGGGAGUCAGAACAUGGGUGAUAAGGUCCGUGUUCGAAAGGGAAACAGCCCAGACCACCAGCUAAGGUCCCAAAAUAUAUGUUAAGUGGAAAAGGAUGUGGCGUUGCCCAGACAACUAGGAUGUUGGCUUAGAAGCAGCCAUCAUUUAAAGAGUGCGUAAUAGCUCACUAGUCGAGUGACACUGCGCCGAAAAUGUACCGGGGCUAAACAUAUUACCGAAGCUGUGGAUUGUCCUUUGGACAAUGGUAGGAGAGCGUUCUAAGGGCGUUGAAGCAUGAUCGUAAGGACAUGUGGAGCGCUUAGAAGUGAGAAUGCCGGUGUGAGUAGCGAAAGACGGGUGAGAAUCCCGUCCACCGAUUGACUAAGGUUUCCAGAGGAAGGCUCGUCCGCUCUGGGUUAGUCGGGUCCUAAGCUGAGGCCGACAGGCGUAGGCGAUGGAUAACAGGUUGAUAUUCCUGUACCACCUAUAAUCGUUUUAAUCGAUGGGGGGACGCAGUAGGAUAGGCGAAGCGUGCGAUUGGAUUGCACGUCUAAGCAGUAAGGCUGAGUAUUAGGCAAAUCCGGUACUCGUUAAGGCUGAGCUGUGAUGGGGAGAAGACAUUGAGUCUUCGAGUCGUUGAUUUCACACUGCCGAGAAAAGCCUCUAGAUAGAAAAUAGGUGCCCGUACCGCAAACCGACACAGGUAGUCAAGAUGAGAAUUCUAAGGUGAGCGAGCGAACUCUCGUUAAGGAACUCGGCAAAAUGACCCCGUAACUUCGGGAGAAGGGGUGCUCUUUAGGGUUAACGCCCAGAAGAGCCGCAGUGAAUAGGCCCAAGCGACUGUUUAUCAAAAACACAGGUCUCUGCUAAACCGUAAGGUGAUGUAUAGGGGCUGACGCCUGCCCGGUGCUGGAAGGUUAAGAGGAGUGGUUAGCUUCUGCGAAGCUACGAAUCGAAGCCCCAGUAAACGGCGGCCGUAACUAUAACGGUCCUAAGGUAGCGAAAUUCCUUGUCGGGUAAGUUCCGACCCGCACGAAAGGCGUAACGAUUUGGGCACUGUCUCAACGAGAGACUCGGUGAAAUCAUAGUACCUGUGAAGAUGCAGGUUACCCGCGACAGGACGGAAAGACCCCGUGGAGCUUUACUGUAGCCUGAUAUUGAAAUUCGGCACAGCUUGUACAGGAUAGGUAGGAGCCUUUGAAACGUGAGCGCUAGCUUACGUGGAGGCGCUGGUGGGAUACUACCCUAGCUGUGUUGGCUUUCUAACCCGCACCACUUAUCGUGGUGGGAGACAGUGUCAGGCGGGCAGUUUGACUGGGGCGGUCGCCUCCUAAAAGGUAACGGAGGCGCUCAAAGGUUCCCUCAGAAUGGUUGGAAAUCAUUCAUAGAGUGUAAAGGCAUAAGGGAGCUUGACUGCGAGACCUACAAGUCGAGCAGGGUCGAAAGACGGACUUAGUGAUCCGGUGGUUCCGCAUGGAAGGGCCAUCGCUCAACGGAUAAAAGCUACCCCGGGGAUAACAGGCUUAUCUCCCCCAAGAGUUCACAUCGACGGGGAGGUUUGGCAC
rnacentral:rRNA from 1 species